UUGCUUGGGUGAAUAGAAAUGAAGAAACACAAAAGAAAGCUGCCAAUUGGAUAUGGGUAUUGUAGCUGAAACGUCUUGCGAGCUGAGUCAGGGUCGGGGAAGCUGUGAUGGCAAUGAGAAGUCAACACACUGAGGAUGGAGAGAAAGAAGAUGAGUCUGGGAGAGAAAGAGAAUGAUUCUUCUGGCCGAGGGAAAGCAAGAAUAUCUGUUCCUGCAACUGCACUGAUUCUAGAAACACUCUCUAUUCGAACUCUCAUGAGAUGAAAAAACUGAGGUAUAGGAUGAUACAACUGGGCCAGGCAUGGUGGCUCACAUCUGUAAUACCAGCACUUUGGGAGGCCAAGGGAGGAGGAUCACUUGAACCCAGGUGUUUGAGACCAGCCUGAGAAAAACAGGAAGAACUCAUCUCUACAAAAAAAUUAUCUAGUGCUGACCUGCUUGGUGAAUGCUGGGAUCUCUGGAAGAGGGAGGCAGACAUCACACACCAGCUGGCAAGUGGGAGCUGGCAUGCAACAUGCCCCAAUACCACUCCCCUCCUGCCAUCCCUAUCUCCUAAUGGUGCCUCCUUUUGGCCAAACCCACCUUUGGCUGGAGGGCAACAGAGCCCAUUGACGUGGUCCCCUUGCAUCUGCUACCUGGGGAGAAAAGCAGGAUGGACACUGAAUCUAGAGAAAUGAAGAAACCCAUCCAGAAGAAUACUGCUUCUUUAUGUUUUUGUAGGAACAGUGUCAUGGGAUGCUGGGGACAGCAGUUGGAGUGAUGCAUCUAUGGGCCAAGGGAAUGCCAAGGAUUGCCAGCCAUCACCAGGACAGAAGCAUGGGUACUGAUGCCCUCACAGAGCCCUUGAAGAGAGUCAACCCUGCUGACACCUUGAUUUCAGACUUCCAGCCUCCAGAACUGUGAGAGAAUAAAUUUCCGUUGUCUUAAGUCACCCAGUUUGUAGCACUUUAUUAUGGCAGCCCUGGGAAACUAACACACUACCCUUAUUUUCAUGCUGAGGAAUGUAAGAUAGUUUUAGGCACCACCUGCUUCUAUACAAGUUUUAUGAUCUCUCCUCCUAAUACUGCAGAAAUUAUGGGUUUUACCAUCUUAGUAUAUAGCAUAAUAUAUCCAGCACACGUUAUAUAUUUAGCACUUUAUUAGAGUACCCCGGUUUGCUCUUCUGAAAAACUGUGAGGCUGGAUUUGAUGCUUUCUAAGGCUUUUUUUUCCCUAUGUAUUCUCUGAUCAGAAUACCCUGCUCAACGAAGCCGCUGGUAAUGAAGCUCAUUAAAAAUGAAAUCACUUAGGUAGGGAGUUGGAGAGUGACUCAUUUAAAACAUUGCCUCCUGGAAACUGAAAUUCAUUGAACACAAAAGCUUUUGGAGGGACUCAGAUUGGUAGGGACUCUGCAGUCUGACAAAAGGGUCUGGUGACAGGGGGCAUCUGAUCCCAUCUAGGGAGGGUAGGGAGAGGGAGUCCGGAGAGGGAUGCAUAAACAAGCCUUCUUCAGACAUGCUACCUAUGCCUCUCCCAUGGCUCCUGCAUGCUUGGAUGUUACGCUUCUUUAAAGAGCAGGUGACAGGUUGCCCCUGGGACGCUCAGAGCCAGGCAAGGUGGGACUUGGCCCUGCUCCCCCUUCUUCUAUCUGAAAAGUUGCCCUUAGUCCCACGGGGCCCCUUCCUGUCACACCGACACAGCUUGCUGGUUUUUGUUUUCUUUCACUGUCCUUUUUCUUUUUUCAGAAGUUCCUCACAGGAAGUGUUUGGCAGGCAGCUCAGGCCCCUGCUGAGAUGGAGAAUCUAGCAAACCUGUCCCGCUGAUUGAUUAAACACUGAGGAGGCUCCAAGACCCAAGCGUGAAAUUCCUUGGCUCUGAUUGUGCUAAGGGUAGAGCUCACUAAUGAAUGGAGUCUGAUUACAGCCCAGCCUCUCCAGUGCCUCCUGUUGCCCCAAUUUGGGGGAUUCUUCUGCUUCGAGUACAUCAUGGAAAGCAGCACAGAGUUCUCAGCAGGAUCUGCGAUGUCUGAUCCAAGAAAGAUUUUUGUUGUUGUCGUCAUUGUUGUUUUUUAAUCCUGAUCAUUGCUCUCAAACCCUUCUCUACACAGCUUGGCGUGGGGGGUAGUUGAUUUCCAGUGAAACCGGGUGGAAGCAGUGCCACUGCCACCUGUGAGGAGGAAAUGGGCAACAGUCGGCUUCAUCCGUCCUGAACGCUCAGGCCUGAAUGUUCCAAACUGAUGCUAAACUGAGACUCUCUGAAGGCCCAUGGGGAAGCCUGGCAUUGUGUAGCCAUUUCUUCCAGCAAGGCUCUCCCCUCACAUUCACAGCCUGCCACUUAAAGCUUUGGGAGACAAUGUAGUUGACCUGUAGUUCUUCCUGUAUGUGGCUCCUGGUCAGUCACUGGGCAAGGAGGAGGCUGCAGGCAUUGUGCUAUCCCCUUAUCUCUCUCUCUGUCUGUCUCUUAUCUAGUUCAAAUCAGCAAAUGGAGCUUGGUCCUUCGUUUGUAAAGUAAGGGGGUGGAAAAUUAUCCCUAAGUUACCUCCUGGUUUAGAAAAGUCUUAAUGCUGUUUUAUAAUAACUCACCCACCUCUCCUCUUCCAUGAGCUCAGAGCGGCCCAGCCCUUGGAAUGUGUUUCUGCCACGACAAGGAAUACAGGAGGAGUUGAACAGGAAACCUGCCUCCUAUCAGAUUCACCUGAGGACGUGGGUUGUCACGAGCUCCCCAAACAAUAAAGCACUUUACGACAUAGGAGGCAUUAUUAUUAAGCUGUUUUCAGUCCCUGAUACCUGCAUGUUGUAGGACCAUGGUGCAUGAAGGAUUUUAAGGAGGCACUUUUGAAAUGUGAAAGGGACAUAGACUGUACAUCUGGAGCACAAAGGCAGGUUUAACCAGCUUUGUCCUGCUCGGCGCCAGUUGGAAGAGAGCAUCUGGCUUUGAAGUGUCUAAAGCCAGGCGUGACGCUGGAUUCUACAGCUGGGUUUUGCUUUGUCACCCAGGCUGGAGUGCAGUGCCAUGAUGGAGCUCAGUGCAGCCUUCAAUCCCUGGGCUCAAGGAAUCCUCUCACCUCAGCCUCCCAAAUAGCUAGGACUACAGGCUGGAGUGCAAUGGCAAGAUCUUGGCUCACUGAAACCUCUGCCUCCUGGAUUCAAGUGAUUCUCCUGCCUUAGCCUCCACAGUAACUGGGAUUACAGAUUUCUGAUAACUUUGGAGAUUGUGACAGCAGAAUAGAGGGAAAACUUUCUGUAAUCAUGGAGAGCCGAAAUAUUCAUGAAUAUCAAGCACAACAGGAAUUAACUGCAUAGACUGAACUAGUAGAAGACUGAAGUAAUCCUUUUGACUUUUUGCUUAAAAUGUGGCUGAUCCUUUGUUUCAUUUUUCUGAGUCAAGGAAACUUUUCUUUUGAGGUAUUGACAGGUUUUAAUAAUUAAAUACACUGUACUUCUAUGAAAGAAAUUUGGAGCAUAUUUGUUUCUCUCUAUCUGAUUUCUUCAGAAUUUAGAAAAUAUGUGUGAGUGUUCUUAACUUAUGGAAAUACAGUUAUUUACAUAAGUGCAAUAAGAAUCUGUUUUCAUUUGUAACAGACACAAUUAGAGAAACUAAUUAUUUUACCAAGGCUUUCACUGGAAUAGUGUGCUUUCCUUUAAGGAAUCAAACUUUACUUACAGAGCCAAUGAAAGCCCCUUGGGAAAACUGGCCUCAUACCUUGUUUUCACUGUCCUGGUACAGGGUUCCUGACAUGGGAUAAGUAAAGAAUAUCACUUUCUGACAGGCCAAGGAGCCCCAAGUCAUCUUGUGACCUCAAGAAGAAAGGAAUUCACCCAACUUAUAGGUAUUUGAUGGUACAAAUCCACGGCUGGGCUCAGCUUUAAAAAAGUCUUAUCUGAGACUCCUUCUAUAGAACAAAGUUCCAUCAAAACCAAUUUAAAAAGCCCAUGUGAAAAAUAAUUAUUCUUUCUGCACCUUAUAGAAGUAAUCUAGCCAAGUAUAAUAAAGCAAAUUGGUACUACCAUAAUUUGACUUUAAAAUGGGAAAUUGGAGAGAAAAAAAUAUGUUUCAAAACUACAGUAUACCUUUUGUUGAUUCUAGUCUUGCCUAAUAUUUUUCAAUUUUUAUUAUUUUCUGUAGUUUGGAUUGAACUCUAAUUUUCCCUGGCUACAAGUCUCCAAAAUAAUGUUUUCAAUUUUUUUCUUCCUUUUUCUUCUUUUCCUUUUCCCCUCAAUUUUUCCUAAUUUGAAAUCACUGAAAACUAAGUUGUGUUUUCUUAAAGCCAUGUGAACUGAAACUAGACAACUUAGCUUCAGAAGACAAUAAUAGCAACCUGUUUACAUACAUAAGCCAACUCUCAUACCUGCCUACUGAUGUAUGGACUUCAGAGUAAUGUGGCC
rnacentral:lncRNA from 10 species